CGUCCCGCCGGCGACCGGCGCACGGGUGAGUAACACGUAUGCAACCUGGCCGCCACAGGGGGAUAACCCGCGGAAACGCGGCCUAAUACCCCGUGACGCCACCGGAGGGCAUCCUCCGGUGGCCAAAGGAGCGAUCCGGUGGCGGAUGGGCAUGCGGCGCAUUAGCUAGACGGCGGGGUGACGACCCACCGUGGCGACGAUGCGUAGGGGUUCUGAGAGGAAGGCCCCCCACACUGGGACUGAGACACGGCCCAGACUCCUACGGGAGGCAGCAG
rnacentral:rRNA from 1 species